GACUGACCUCCCACAAGGAGAGUUCCGCCCUGCACUGCAAAUCCCCCAAACACGGACUUCAGGGACCCGGCUCUGGGAGGUUUUCAGGAACAGGCUGACCACAGGCAGGAAACACACCUACAAGGUAUCCAUCACAGCUGACAGAAGCAUGGAACAAUAUGAUGCCUGGAGCCCGUCAUGCCUGGAGACCAACAUCCCUGGACCCCCUCCUUACUACCCAUUUUCCCUAUAUAACUGCUUUAAGAUUCUAUAAUCUUUGAAGAUGGGUUUUUGAGACAUUAGUCACCUGUCUUCCAAUUUGCCAGCUAAUCUAAUUAAACUUCAUUUCUCUCUAA